UAACAAUAAUGUCGGCCUCUUUUCUAGA
rnacentral:piRNA from 1 species